rnacentral:lncRNA from 10 species
UGACUCCAAGGUCUGAAAUGAUCUCAUUUACCCCACAUGAUAGAUGUGGCCCUUCCAGAUGAGGAGUUCAACAAGACUACAUGGUAGAGCAGCCAGAGAACCCACUGGAAAUAAGGCUCAAAAUAAGGAGUAACCACAAAAUAAGAGACAGAGAAUGCUGAUUCACUAUGCAGUGAAACAUGCCUAACGUGUCAACAGCUAAAUGCCCGGUGACAGUGUGGUUGUCUGGGCAACAGAAGAAGUCACCCACGCAAACACUUAAAGGACCAUACUUAUUUUACAAGAGGAACAGUUUUCAAUGGAAUGGAUAUUAAAACACACACCUGGAUCCCUUUACCACAGGUGCUUUGAGAGGCACCAUCAAGGACAGUGAGCUAACGCAGGAGAAUGGAGUCCCAGA